GGUUGCCAUAAGGAAAGAUGAUGGGCUGCAAAUGAAGCACAUUGCUCUGUGACCAAGGCUCUUACGUUUUACGGGUCACUGUUUCAAAGGAUCUGGGUCCCACCGUGACAGAAGCCACUUUGGCUACUUCUCACCUAUAGGACUAGCAAAAUCACAUAGUUAACUGGGAUUCAUUUGGUUGUUGAUGCUAACGUCUCACCAUCAGCAAUUCAGAGUCUCUGACAUACCUACUGCGUCAGCCAGCGUUCACUAGAGAAACCGAUUUCAUAUAAUAAACAAAGAGGUAGGCUUACAACGCACAUCUGUGAUGUCGGGUGUGGAAGCGCUCAAAAGGAAUGUCUGCACGCUGGAGAUCCAAAGGGUCCAGUCAAAGAUCAAAGGCCGGGACCUCACUGCAGAGUCUCGUGAGAAAAAAUUCGUGCAGGAUGAGGUAACACUGUUUGUCAAUCAGUUUCUAAAUUUGGAGUCAGUCCAGAAAACCCAGGAGGAAGUUCAACUCAGCCAGAUAAUCAGCAGAAAAUCCACCCCACGUGACGUCCCCCACCCCACCGCGGCUGAUCUUUUCAUGUAUUCUUUAUAAGGAAUCCAUUGAACUUUAAUUAAUAUGAAAAAUUCAGGUUUUCAUCUGAUUUAAAUGUGGCUGACAUCACGCUGCUUCUAAAAGUGGAACAAAGUACAAGCAUGGUGAAAAUAAAACUUAAAACCUGGUUCCUGCCAGAGUUUUAUUUUCUCUCUGCCAAAUCAUCUCCAGCAUUUCCACGAGGCAUGAAUGAGAUGUAUCUAGAGCAAUUUUUCUGAAAUCCUCCUGCCCUUAUGUAUAAUCAGAGACUUGAAAUAUAUCUGUAUAUAGGAG
rnacentral:lncRNA from 1 species